rnacentral:rRNA from 1 species
CGCAUCUGUGCAUGCAGCAUAUCAAUAAGCGGAGGAAAAGAAACUAACAAGGAUUCCCUAGUAACGGCGAGUGAAGCGGGAAGAGCUCAAAUUUGAAAUCUUAAAGGUUUUCCCUUGACGAAUUGUAGUUUAAAGAAGUGUUUUCUGUUGAAGUUUUGGUAAAAGUUCUUUGGAAUAGGACAUCAUAGAGGGUGAGAAUCCCGUAUUUGACCUUUACUUUCAACUUUGUGAUACACUUCCAAAGAGUCGGAUUGUUUGGGAAUGCAGUCCAAAAUGGGUGGUAAAUUUCAUCUAAAGCUAAAUAUUGGCGAGAGACCGAUAGCGAACAAGUACCGUGAGGGAAAGAUGAAAAGAACUUUGAAAAGAGAGUUAAACAGUACGUGAAAUUGUCAAAAGGGAAGCGCUUGACACCAGUGUUGUUUUUCUGAAAAUCAAUUAAAGAACUGUUUAUGCUAAGUUGUUUAGACUUUAUCAGCUAACUGUUUAGUUUUGAGCAUUUCUUUAAUGCACUUUUCAGUUAACAAGUCAACAUCAAUUUCUUUUGCUGUAAAAAAGCUUGAGGAAGGUGGCUUGAGAUUCGUCUUAAGUGUUUAUAGCCUCUUGCCUAUGCAGUCGGAGAGAUUGAGGUCUGCAGCGUAGAUCCUUCGGGGCUAAAUGCAUUUGUGCUAAGUUAUAGCAUUUUAUAGACAACUUGUUGACUAUGAUUUGUCUUGUAGCUUACUCGCUUAUGUUAUUUUACCUACGCUUAGGAUGUUGAUAGUCACAGCGUGUAC